rnacentral:rRNA from 1 species
GACGAACGCUGGCGGCAUGCCUAAUACAUGCAAGUCGAACGAGCUGACAGAGUGCUUGCACUCUCGACGCGAGUGGCGGACGGGUGAGUAACACGUGGGAAACCUACCUGUAAGUAGGGGAUAACAUUCGGAAACGGAUGCUAAUACCCUAUAGGUUUCAGUUCCGCAUGGAACUGAAAGGAAAGACGGCUUUGCUGUCGCUUACAGAUGGUCCCGCGGCGCAUUAGCUAGUUGGUGGGAUAAAAGCUCACCAAGGCUGUGAUGCGUAGCCGACCUGAGAGGGUAACCGGCCACACUGGGACUGAGACACGGCCCAG